rnacentral:rRNA from 1 species
GAUUAAGCCAUGCAUGUCUAAGUAUAAACGAUUUUAUCGUGAAACCGCGAACGGCUCAUUAAACCAGCUAUAAUCUACUUGAUCUUGACAUAUAUCUACUUGGAUAACUGUGGUAAUUCUAGAGCUAAUACAUGCACAAAUUCUCUGACCUUGCGGAAAGAGCGCAUUUAUUAGAGCAAAACCAGGCGGCUUCGGUCGUUUUUUGCUGACUCAGAAUAACUCAGCUGAUCGCACGGUCUUUGUACCGGCGACGUGUCUUUUGAGUAUCUGCCUUAUCAAUUUUCGAUGGUAGUGUAUCUGACUACCAUGGUUUUGACGGGUAACGGAGAAUCAGGGUUCGACUCCGGAGAAGGGGCCUGAGAAAUGGCCACUACGUCUAAGGAUGGCAGCAGGCGCGCAAAUUACCCACUCUCGGAAUGAGGAGGUAGUGACGAGAAAUAACGAGACCGUUCUCUAUGAGGCCGGUUAUCGGAAUGGGUACAAUUUAAACCCUUUAACGAGUAUCUAUGAGAGGGCAAGUCUGGUGCCAGCAGCCGCGGUAAUUCCAGCUCUCAAAAUGCAUAGAACCAUUGCUGCGGUUAAAAAGCUCGUAGUUGAAUCUAUGCCUGAGGCUUGGUCCACUCUUUGAGUGCGUACUAGGUUCUUUGGCUUUUCGUCGGUUUUCUUGUCGUGGCCUUUAUUGGUGGCGGCAAGUGGCUGACAAUUUUACUUUGAACAAAUCAGAGUGCUUAAAACAGGCGUCUCGCUUGUAUGCUUUUGCAUAGAAUAAUGGAACACGACUUCGGUCUAGUUUUAUUGGUUUUAUAGAUCGUUGUAAUGAUUAAAAGAGACAAACGGGGGCAUUCGUAUUGUUGCGUGAGAGGUGAAAUUCUUGGACCGCAGCAAGACGACCUACAGCGAAAGCAUUUGCCAAGCUUGUCUUCAUUAAUCAAGAACGAAAGUCAGAGGAUCGAAGGUGAUCAGAUACCGCCCUAGUUCUGACCGUAAACGAUGCCAACUAGCGAUUCGCCGGCGGAUAUUUUGCCCUGGCGAGGAGCUUCCCGGAAACGAAAGUCUUCCGGUUCCGGGGGAAGUAUGGUUGCAAAGCUGAAACUUAAAGGAAUUGACGGAAGGGCACCACCAGGAGUGGAGCCUGCGGCUUAAUUUGACUCAACACGGGAAAACUCACCCGGCCCGGACACUAUAAGGAUUGACAGAUUGAUAGCUCUUUCAUGAUUUGGUGGAUGGUGGUGCAUGGCCGUUCUUAGUUCGUGGAGUGAUUUGUCUGGUUUAUUCCGAUAACGAGCGAGACUCUAGCCUACUAAAUAGUCUGCUCAUUGCUAUUGUGUGGCAGUACUUCCUAGAGGAAUUUUCGGUGUUUAACCGCAUGAAAUUGAGCAAUAACAGGUCUGUGAUGCCCUUAGAUGUCCGGGGCUGCACGCGCGCUACACUGGUAAAGUCAGCGUGCGUCUCCUUUCUCGAAAGAGAUUGGUAAACCAGUGAACGUUUGCCGUGAUAGGGAUCGGAAAUUGCAAUUAUUUUCUGUGAACGAGGAAUUCCAAGUAAAUGUGAGUCAUCAACUCGCGUUGAUUACGUCCCUGCCCUUUGUACACACCGCCCGUCGCUGCCCGGGACUGAGCCAUUUCGAGAAAAUUGGGGAUUGCUGACUGACGGUUCUUCGGGAUUGUCUUUUGGUGAGAACCAGCUUAAUCGUAGUGGCUUGAACCGGGCAAACUGCCGGAUCAUUAUCGUUUCUCUGCUAAACUGCUACGAUAAUUGAUAUGUUGAGGUCUAUGCUGCGCAUUGUUGGCCUUAUUAUAUGCUUGAUAGUAAUGGCUUUCGCAAAGAAACGUCCCCUUUGCGACAUACACACGUGAGUGUGUGUGAACAAUGCGCUCUGGACUAUAUUUGAAGUCUGGUCGGCCAUUCCUUCUCGGGGGGAUGGCCGUUCAGCAAAACGGCUUCGUUGGCUUCUGCGUUACACUGAGCAAUUGUGUUCAUUGUGGACUGCUGCUUGCGGUCUACAAUGACGACGUCCGUGAUUGCGUUGACGUGUGACGAGACGCGCGCUAUGCCAGCUUGGCUUGCGGCGCGAGAAUUAAUGAGCACUGGGUUGGUGCCGCCAACAAACACAUUCUUCUUCUAAUUUUUUUAUCAAGGCAAUAAUACACAGCCUUACCGAUGGAUCACUCGGUUCGUAGUUCGAUGAAGAACGCAGCUAACUGCGUUAAUUGAUAUAAUCUGCAGAAACCUUGAGUAUUAAUUUGUUGAAUGCACAUUGCGCCAUUGGAGUUACAUCCUUUGGCGUGUCUGGUUCAGGGGCGUUUCUAAAACACAUGCAAGAGCUGCGGUGUUGCUGCGUGAUCCGCUGUCACUUCGGUGGUGGUGGGGCGCCAGCGACGCUGGCAUGGUGUAAGGAGACCGCUAGUAGCGCAUUCCCGGAUUGGGGUGGGCUUUUUGCUCACUGCGUUGCUAGUGUCUUGCUCAAAUGAGUUUUGUUGAAAGCGCUGGCUGCUUUGGUUGCAGUUGGGUGGUGUCGAUUGCGAUUGCCUUGUAUUAGGCGGACACAUAGCCCGACGGACCUUAGAGCGGUCAUCUUUCGAUAAAUUGGCUCAUGCAAGUUAAAUGCCCUGAACUCAGGCACGAUUACCUGCUGAACUUAAGCAUAUCAGUAAGCA